ACAUACAUAAAUAAAUAUCUAAUAUAAAGAUAUUCAUACAUAAUAUAUAUAUAUAUAUAUAUAUAUAUUACUAAAAUUAUCAGAGUAUAAAUUACUAAAUGAGUGGAUGCACAUAAGUAAAUAAUGUAACAAAUCAAAGUAUAAAUUACUAAAAUUAAGAGCAGAGCUAUAAAACCUUCCAUUGUGUCGGUAGUCCGAUUACGGUGGCGGCGGCAGCUAGUAAAAAUAGUUAAAUUUAUUGAAAUAAAACUUUUAUUAAAUUUACAAAAAGAACUUACAAAUUUGACUGAAGUAAAUAGUUUACUGAAGAUCUUGAGAGAUCUGUGAGCUUGAAACUGAAUACAUUUUGAAUCGUUUACAGGUAGAGAGAGAGAGAGAAUGUGUGUAUUGGAUCAACCGAGGGUUUUAGUCCACUGCGGGUUGGAGUCCCCUUCCUUCAUCUCAGUGAAGUGAACAGUGAACAGUGAUUGUCGGUGUGUUACUAUUUCAACAGUGGUGUACAGUGUAUGUGAAUAGUGACUGUCGGUGUUAUUAUUUCAACAGUAGCUUUUCUAUCAAAAUUUUGAUAGUAGUGACUGAAACUGUUGAUUUAAGCAAAUGGAUCUUGGGCAUCUUAGAACUGAGACCCGUAAGGAUCCGGAGAUUCUGACUGGGCUGACUGAGCUAUUGAACUGUUGGAACUGUUUGAUUCUUCUUUGACUGCUGACUGGGCUUGGGCUUGAACUUGGGCCAAGAGCAAAUUGGCCACUCUGAGCAAUUCAGUAUUGUCUUGAAUAAAUGCAGGAGUUGGUGACUUGGUCUUCGAGGACUCGGUCUUCGAGGUCUUUGGUUUACUGGUCUUGGUACUGGAGGAGGGGCUAUCCAGCUUUGCGGUUGAAUAUCCUGACUUUGUGGCAGCAGGGGCUGCUGUAACUGUCUUGACUGGAGUUGGAACUAGAACUGGGAAUUCUAGUUUGACUUGUUCAAUAAUUCGAGGAUGUUUGAAAGCAUCCCACCAUUUAACAAAAUGAUGUCUGAUGACUAUGUGAUUGUGGAUAUUGUACUGCCAUUUGAAUAUCCAUGGGACUUUGUAUUUGGCCAUGAAGAGCAAAAGGCAGGGGAAGUGACUAUAAUGUUCAGUAACUUUGUAUUGAGUAGAAAAUAUGGUGACUUGAUCAGCAAGGUCAAUAGGUAAGAUUUCUGGAAGAGCACCAUGAAAAUCCCACCAUUUUAAGAACCAGGAGGGGAUAACUGAUUUGAACUUGUGAUCAAAGGAGAAAAACCAAGAAUGCUGGAAUGACUCAUUUUGGUGAAGCAAGAUUUUGAACCAGGCUUCCAUGUAAUCAUAAUAACUAUAUUUAAUUGAGUGAUCAGGUAGGUCUCGGAGAAGAGAGGGGUGACCCCAUUCAUCAAGAGAGACAAUGUUGUGAAUAUAUAAGGAGUGGUAAAUAAUUUUAGCAGGGUUACGCUUAUCAAAGAUGGGUUUAAAAACAACUGACUGGUGUUUUAGCAAAAUAUCUUUGUAAAAAGUGAUUGACUUGUCAGGGUGCAUUGGAACAAAAUGCCAACCCGGAGGGAAGAAGAAAUUAGCAAGUUGAAUAGGAUCUUUAAUAUUUUUGUGAACUGAUUCAAUAUAAAAGAGAUUAGUAUAGUGCGGUUUUAAAAUGUAGUCUGACCUGGAUGACUGCAAGGGGUUAAUAUAGGAAGUCAUUUGGGUUUGACUAGAUGCAAGAACAGAAGAAAAAGAAGGUUUGCGUAUGGUGCCAAGAAUCUGGUACCGGUUGACUAGUUCAAGAGAGGAGGCAGGAGGACCAGGUAAGGCAAGUUGUUUGGAGGGAGGUUUUUUACUAGAAGACAUCUGCAGAAAACAAGUUAGCAAUAACUUAGUAUAGAUAAAUAGUUAUUAAGAUAAACAAUUCUGACUUGAAAAGCGAUAAUUCGCUGGACUCUCCACUCAAUCUCUCUUUUAGUAAAGAUUGGGUCAAAUCCAUGGGUAUGAAUGGUUUCAAUUUGGGUAGUGUAUCUCUCAAUAAGUUGAGUAAGGUGACUGAUUCUGGCUUUGUACAGUGAGCAAAAAGGCAUUGGCAUAGUUAGGGUUUUCCCUGUAAAAAUUCUCUAGUCAAGAAAUCUGGAAUGGAAUUCUUGCUACCUUCAAUGUAUUCAAUAUCAAAAUCAAAAAUGCUUAAAAUAGAUUGCCAUCUGGCAAAAAUUUGUUUACUUGCAAUAUUUUUAACAUCUUUUUGCAAAACAUAUUUAGCACUUUUGCAAUCAACUCUGACUAAAAACUUUUGAUUCAAAAUAUCAUCUUGAAAUUUUGAAACACAUAAAACAAUAGAUAAAAUUUCUUUUUUAAUAGUACUGUAAUUAAGUUGUGCUUUAUUCCAGACUCCUGAAUGGAAACGAACAAUUUGUUCAGGAGAAGAAGGAGUGACUUUCUGAAGCAGGAUGCCUCCAUAACCAAUAUCAGAAGUGUCAGUUUGAAUAAUUUUAAAUGAAUUAUCAGAAGGAAUACCAAGAUAAGGCAAAGUCUUGACAUAAGAUUUUAGCUCUUUGACUAUAGCAGUAUGAACUGAUGACCAAGGAGGGGGAUUAUCUUUGAGACGGUCAAAAAGAGGUUGACACUUCUUUCUGAGAUCUUUGUAGAAUUCAGCAAUAUAAUUUAAUGAUCCUAGAAAUCUUUGUAACUGGGUUUUAUCUAAGAUUUCAUCAGGAAAUUUAUCAGCAAACUGAAUAGACCUAUUAAUAGGGAUAACAGUUCCUUGAUAAAUAUUAUAUCCUAGAAAUCUAAUUUUAGUUUGGAAUAAUUCAAUUUUUGAUGCAGAAAUGACUAGACCAUUAUACUUGACGAUGUCAAAGAAGGUGUUCAGAUGUUUUCAAUGCUCAUCUAUUGAGUUGGAAAAAAUAAGAAUAUCAUCAAUGUAGACUAAGGUAAAUAAAGAAAAAGGGUUGAAUAUUUCAUUCAUAAUAUUCUGGAAUUCACUAGGGGCAUUUUUUAAACCAAAUGGCAUAACAUUCCAUUUGUAAUGACCAAAAGGGGUAGUAAAAGCAGUUUUGUAUCUAUCUUUAGGAUGAAUUUGUAUUUUCCAAAAGCCACUCUUUAAGUCAAAUUUUAAAAAUAUAACUGCAUUACUAAUCCUUUUAAUUAGGUCUUUUUUAUUAGGGAUUGGAUACCUAAUUCAUUCUAAGACUUCAUUUAAUGGUUUGUAAUUAAUAACUAGACGGAGAACUCCUCGCUCUAUUUCAGAAUUUUUAUUAACAUAAAAAGCAGGACAUGACCAUGGUGACUUACUUUUACUAAUAAUACUAUUUUUUAGUAAAUCAUUUAUUUCUGUUUUACAGGUUUCCAUUAAGUCAGAAGUCAUUUGUAUAGGUCGGGAUUUAGUGGGGGUUUUACUUUCAUGAAAAUCUUUAAUAUAAGGCAAAGUUACUAUAUGUUUUUUCCUAUGCCAGAAUGCACUAGGGAGAGAAGCGCAUAUAUGUUUUUCAAGUUUUGAUUUAAAAUUAAUAAUUUUAUUUUGUAAAUGUGGAUUUCCUAAUUGGGUUUCAAUUCGUUUAUAUUUUAAUUCUUCUUUUAGAAAAUUAAUUUGUUGUGUCUUCUGAUUAAUAGUAUUAAUAGAUAUAGAAUGAUUUUGUAAUUGGUUUAAUUUAAUAGUUUCUGGUUUAGAAAGGAAUUCAAAGGUGACUGUUUUUCCCAAAGGUUUACAAAUUAAUCCAUUAGCGUUAGUAGUAAAAGGAUAUAGUAAGUAAAUAAAAGGAAUUCCUAAAAUAACUUUAUCAGUCAUAUUUUUUACUAAAAUAAAAGAAGUUUUAAAACAAACAUUAUUUUGACAAAUAUGAACUUUAGGUAAUUUGUAUUUAAUAUCCAUUUUACUUUCAUUAGUUGUGCUUAAUCGUUCGGUAGUUUUAUGAUAAAAUUUUGUAGGAACUAAUCCUUCUUGAAUACAGUUUAAAUCAGCUCCUGUGUCAAUAAGAGCAAUGACUUCUAACUCAUAAUCUUUUAUUACUAAUCUUACUUUAGUAUGCCAUUUUUGUAAAUUGAUUUUAUUAAUAAUAUUAAUAUUAGGAAAAACCUCAGUAGGGUUAAUUUGAAUGGGUUCAGUUUCAUCUGUAGACUCUUCAAGUAUACUGGUAAGAUUUUUAUUAACUUUUAAUAGUUUAAUCUGAUCUUCUAAAUUUUGAUCCUGUAAUUUUAAAUUCUUAAUCUCUAAUUUAAUAGAAUUAAUUUCAUGCUGUAAGUCAGAUAAACAAGUUUCUUUUUGUUUAUUCUUUUUAAAUUUUUCUAAAGUGUUAUUAAGAUCUAUAAAAGGCUUAUCAGGUUGUAAUUUAGGAUUUAACUAUAAGGAUUUUAAUUUACUGAUGUAUUGUUGUUUUAACUCAUCGUCUUCUAUUUUACCGAUUAAUUCUAAUAAAGCUUUUUCUUCUUUUUGAGGUUUUAUGAUUACAUUGACUGUUUUACAACAAUUGUUACUACAUGUAAUAUUAAUGUUUUCAUUAUCAGAUGAAGAAUGACUAGGUGUUUCUUGAGGACUGUUAAAAUCAUUAUCAGUAAUAUAACUUUCUAUGUUAGUUAAUUUAAAUAUUUCAAAAAAUUUAUUUUUGUCUUCUUCAGAAAUUUGAAGUUUAUUAAUUCUUGAUUUAGACCAACAUUCAUUUUUAUAAUGACCUUUCUUACCACAUUUAUGACAAGUAAUAUCUUUUUUAUUAUUGUUUUUACUAGAAGUAUGCUUUGGAGUAAUUUUUUAACAGGUUUAUCAUAAAAUGUAUUUUGUUGAGUAUUUUUACUAUGUUUAUGUUUAUGAUGACUAUGCUUUCUAUGAGUUUUAAAUUCUUUAAAUUUCUGAUGUCUAUGUUUUCUGACUGAGGGGGCAACAGGUGUUAAACCGUAUUGCUCGCAAAAGUUUCCUAACUCAUAUUUAGCUUUGUUUUUAUCUUUACUUUCUUGUUUUCUAAUUUUCAUGUCAAUACACAUUCUUAAUCCUUCUUUUUGAAUAGUGCUAAUUAUGUCACCGUAGGUUAAUUGAUCAUAAUUUAUUGUUCCUGUAGGUUGACUAAGGACAUCUCUAAUUUUAUGGGCGAAGAGAUGAGGUAAACCAUUAAUAAAUUUUUUUUUUCAAAAAGGUUUAGUACAGUCUUCUCUUAGCAUGACUCUAGAGGUAAAAACAUCUUUAUACCAUCUGAAGUCACUAAGUGUUGGGCAACUAAGGUUACUUAAUUGAUCAUGAAUUCGUGAAUGUAUAUCACUAGGGGUUCCUAUGAAAUGUUUUAUUAUGGUAUAAAUCAAAGUGUUUAUUCCGUCAGGUUUUCCUGAUCCUAUAGUUUCAUCAAAAAUAGGGAGGUUAUUUUCAUCUAAUUGAAUAGCAUUUUUAAUUUGUUCUCUUGAUUCUUCAGUAAGAUAUCUAUACCACCAAGAUUUUAACAUUCCAGUAAAACCGGAGGUUAAUAGGUCAACUAUAUCAACUUGGGUGUAAUCCAAAUAAUUAGUUAAGUAACUAUUUGAAACCAUAGAUAAAUGAUGUAAUUUUUGUGAAAUUCCAUUUUCACUAAGGCCAUCAAUAUUCCAUUCAUAUAAUUUUUUAGCUUCAAUAGAAAACUGGUUAUCUAGAUUUCUUUUCUCAAAUUGUAAAUCAGGAGGAGUAGGUCUAGGAUACCAAUUUUGUGUAAUAGAAGUAUGACUUGGAGUAAAUUUGAUUUUAUUAACAUUAAACUGGUUUUCUAAUUCAGAUAAGUCUUCACUAGGUAGAUUACUAUCUGAUUCACUAUCUGUAGAUUGUAAUUCUAAUUCAUUUUGAUUAAUAACUUUAAUAGAUGAACCUUCCGCUUUGGGUUGAAUUUUAGAUUCAAGACUAGCAAAAAGUUCUUCUAUUUUUUGAAUAUCAUUUGCUGGUUUUUUAAGACCAAGUUGAUGUCUGUUACUAGGUAAGGAUGUUAAUGGUAUUUCUAAUGUUUUAGAAGUAGAAGUUUCUUGAACAAUUGGUUUAUUAUCAAUUUUUGAUUCUAUAUUAUCUAAUUGUUUACCUAUUGUUGUUAAGUAUUGAUUAGUGUAAUUAUUUUGUUCAAUAACUUUAUUAAUUUCAGUAGUAUCAGUAGGUAGCUUAAAUGAAGUAGCUUUUACCGUAGAUCCUUUGUUUUCAAUUAUAACAGUUUCUAAGGGGAGAUGACUAGAAGAAACAGUAGUGUUAUCAGUAAUUUUCCAUGAAGUUUUAGUGAUAGUAUUUAAUUUUUUAUGAUAUUUUUCUAAGUAAUAAAAGAAGUAAAUAUCUGUUCUUACCUCAUUCAUAAACAUUUGCCACGCGCUUAUUAAUUUUUCAAUUUGUUGAGUAGUGUUUUUACUUUUAAGUUCAUCUCUUUUAGGUUUAUUUUCUUUAGAUCUAUAUUCUUUAAUAAGUCUAUCAGUAUCAGGUUCGAAAACAGAAUGUAUAGUUAAUAAUUGAGGAUUAAUAGGAGUAUUAAUUUCAAAAUCUGUUUGUGUAGGUGACUCUUGGGAAGACUCAGUAGACUCGGCUUCUUCCUCUUCAUUACCAAAUUGUGGAUGUUUUGAAUAUUUAGGUUUACUAAUUUGAGAAGAAGUUUCGACACCUUGUAUUUUAAUUUUUGAUUCAAAUGGAUCAAUAAAACUUUUACUAGAUUUGUACUACUAAUCUGUCUAACUGGGUGGAUGUGAAUUCUGUUUAAUUUCUUGGAGUACUAGUGCAUAGAUUCUUGUUAUCCAAAAACUAUGUCAUAGACGGGGUGGUUAUUUCUAGAUCUUUAAAACUUAUUUUAACAGUUCCAUCUGUGAAUUGAUGAUGUUAAUCUAAGUCAUAGUAGUUUUCUGUGUAUGACUGGUAAUUUUCAUUUGUUUAAUAGCCAAUCUUCUGGUAGAGUAAUAUCUUUCCAGAUAAUAUUGGGUUUCAACAUUUGAAUUUUUAGAAUGCUUUGUAUUAAUCACGUUUGACCGGUAGGCUUUUAACUAGAACGUACGUUUAAGUUGGUUUCAUACAUUUAUAUAAAUUCUAUAAAUAACCCCCCCCCCCCCAGUGCAAACAGGUAAUGGACUGGCCUUCAAGCAUAUUAGUAAUUCACAGAAGUUUAUAUAUUUAGUGUUUUACGGACUUUUUAAUAUAGGCGGAUCAGUAAGACAAGCGUAAGAGUCAGUAGGUAAGAAGUUAAAAUGAACCGGUCCCAUCAUGUAGACUGGUUCUUAACAUUCCCAUGAUGGCUAGCUUAAAAUCUCUAAAACCUCGCACUCUACGGUAAAACCAAUUAGUAUAAGACGAAAUCAAUCCCGUAGAGUUAAUUGGUUUGACUGCACACUUGAAAUUAAUCUAUAGUAUGAAAUUAUGACCCUCCGAGACUUGUGUUUAUUGAUUGACUCUUUGUUUAAUAUACUAACCAGUUUCAUAUGCAUUCGUUAAAGCAUAAACUUGUUCAACAGUUUGACUUUCAUAUAACUUUAAAAGAUGACUGUAACACGCUAUGUUUUAUAAAUUUCCUUUACGGGCAUUUUGGGAUUUUCCCAAUUGCAAACUUCAUUAUCUAGAU
rnacentral:lncRNA from 1 species